rnacentral:miRNA from 1 species
UUCCAAGAUGCUAAAGUGUCU